rnacentral:lncRNA from 1 species
CUUACCUUUUUUGAUGAGUUUCCAAGUAAACACCAGAAUGCCUCACCAGAAGCCAAGCAUUCACUAGAGCUUAACAUUUCUUUAUAAUUUUUCUCUGGGCUAUUGUUUAUAUAUAAUGACAUGCAUAAAUCAUAAAUGCAUAUUUGUUAUUUGCUGAGUUUUGACAAAUGCAUGAACCUUUUGUAUUCUCCAUUGUCCAUUAUUCCUGUGUGUCCAUGCAUACCCACUGUUUGGUUUCCACUUAUAAAUGAGAACCUGCAGUAUUUGACUUUCUGCUUCUGAAGUAAUUUCACUUAGGAGAUAACUUAGGAAAUGGCCUCCAGUACCACCCAUGUUCCUUUCUGUUGGCUUGUCAGGUCCUGGGUUUCUUUCACUGUGGCUCCCUGAAAAGCAGAGCAGCUUUGAUGAGAUCCUGUUCACAGUGCCAAAACUGUAGGGGUGAAGGGCUUCCCCUUAGCCCUCUGAAGGUUUCCUCUCCUUGCUUACUGUCACCACCUUUCCUCUUGCUCCUCCCUUCAUCCAGGUGCUGUGUUCUUGAUCACCUUGUAGACAGUCAUUUCAAGCUUCCAGCUUUCUCCAGCCAAUCCAUUGACCCCUUUCCUAAUGGCACUUCUAAUUGCAUGAUGUUCAGUGGAUUUUUUUUCUUCAGGCCAUACUCUCAAUUGCUUGUGUCUGUCAGAUCCAUUCAUUUUCACUAUUUCCCUACUAAUAAAAUAUUGGAAAUGUGGCAGAGGGUUUCAUGACAACUCUCAGGAUUUCCUGACCUGAACAGUGUGCAUCAUACCCAAUAUUAUUCCUCAUCCCCUCCAAGUCGGCUGCUUUUGACUCUCCAGUGUCCAUUAUACCGUUCUGUAUGCCUUCGCAUACCCAUAGCUUAGCUCCCACUUAAAAGUGAGAACAUAUGGUGUUUGGUUUUCUAUUUCUGAGUUACUUCACUUAGAAUAAUGGUCUCCAGCUCCAUCCAAGUUCAUUUAUAAUACUGAAUCCAUUAAUUCCCAGGUUUCUGCUUUCUCAGCUUCUUGAAGAUAGAUUCUAA